AACGAACGCUGGCGGCAGGCUUAACACAUGCAAGUCGAACGGGUGUAGCAAUACAUCAGUGGCAGACGGGUGAGUAACACGUGGGAACCUUCCUAGGGGUACGGAACAACUCAGGGAAACUUGAGCUAAUACCGUAUACGUCCGUGAGGAGAAAGAUUUAUCGCCCUUAGACGGGCCCGCGUCGGAUUAGCUAGUUGGUGGGGUAAGGGCCUACCAAGGCGACGAUCCGUAGCUGAUCUUAGAGGAUGAUCAGCCACACUGGGACUGAGACACAGCCCAGACUCAUACGAGAGGCAGCAGUGGUGAAUCUUGGACAAGGGGCGCAAGCCUGAUCCAGCCAUGCCACGUGAGUGAAGAAGGUCUUCGGAUUGUAAAGCUCUUUUGCCAGGGACGAUAAUGACGGUACCUGGAGAAUAAGCCCCGGCAAACUUCUUGCCAGCAGCCGCGGUAA
rnacentral:rRNA from 1 species